rnacentral:lncRNA from 1 species
AUGAUGAGCCUGUUUACUCCUGUUGCAGAUGUGAAGUCACCACUGCCUACGACAGAUGACCACUACUGGUUUUCACCGUGUGGACCACAAGCAGCUUCAGAAGUCCUGUUGUGGUCAAAGGAGAUGCAUCUGAUCAAGAGAUGUGAAGUCACCACUGCCUACGACAGAUGGCCAACUACUGGUUUUCACCGUGUGGACCACAAGCAGCUUCAGAAGUCCUGCUGUGGUCAAAGAAGAUGCAGCUGA